rnacentral:tRNA from 1 species
GCUCUUGUGGCGGAAUUGGUAGACGCGUUCGGCUCAAACCCGGAUGGGAAACCGUGUGGGUUCGAGUCCCACCAAGAGCA